UACAGAGGUGGCAAGCGUUGUUCGGAAUUACUGGGCGUAAAGGGCGCGUAGGUGGCCUUCUAAGUCAGACGUGAAAUCCCCAGGCUUAACCUGGGAACUGCGUCGGAUACUGGAAGGCUCGAGUUCGGGAGAGGAAUGUGGAAUUCCAGGUGUAGCGGUGAAAUGCGUAGAUAUCUGGAGGAACACCGGUGGCGAAGGCGGCAUUCUGGACCGAAACUGACGCUGAGGCGCGAAAGCCAGGGGAGCAAACGGG
rnacentral:rRNA from 1 species